rnacentral:rRNA from 1 species
GACGAACGCUGGCGGCGUGCUUAACACAUGCAAGUCGAGCGGUAAGGCCCUUUCGGGGGUACACGAGCGGCGAACGGGUGAGUAACACGUGGGUGACCUGCCCUUAGCUCUGGGAUAAGCCUGGGAAACUGGGUCUAAUACCGGAUAUGACUCCAUGACGCAUGUUGUGGGGUGGAAAGCCGUUGUGCGGCUAGGGAUGGGCCCGCGGCCUAUCAGCUUGUUGGUGGGGUGAUGGCCUACCAAGGCGACGACGGGUAGCCGGCCUGAGAGGGCGACCGGCCACACUGGGACUGAGACACGG